rnacentral:rRNA from 1 species
UACAGGGGGUGCGAGCGUUAAUCGAAGUUACUGGGCGUAAAGCGUGCGUAGGUGGACAUUUAAGUCUAGCGUGAAAUCCCCGGGCUUAACCUGGGAACUGCGUUUGAUACUGUUUGUCUAGAGUAUGGUAGAGGAAAGCGGAAUUUCCGGUGUAGCGGUGAAAUGCGUAGAUAUCGGAAAGAACAUCAGUGGCGAAAGCGGCUUUCUGGGCCUGUACUGACACUGAGGCACGAAAGCGUGGGGAGCAAACAGG